GGCUGGGUUCUCUAGACACUCCGUGUAGGUUCACCGCGCGAGGAUUGGUCAGCCCUCUCUCCCGUGAAAAUAUCUCCUCCCUCUCCCUCAUCCCGCUACUCUCUUCUCCGGGCCGCCGCCGCCUCCGCUCCCCCUCCCUCUCGGCCGCAGCCUCGUCUCCGCUGCCUCCACCGCCUCCUCCUCCCCUGCCUCUGCUCCUCCCGUGUCUCCUCGUCCCCUCCCUCUGCCUCCGUGCUCAACAGGAGGAGCCUAGGUCGCUGCCGGGCGAGGGCGAGCUCCUUGCUUCUCGCCGCUCCCAGCCACCGGGCGCCGUCCUGCCGACGUGGCCCACUGCACGCUGCCACCAGCGUCUUCUUCGGAUGAACCCCUCGAGCCCCCACCAUGGCGGCUGCCUACAGAGGAGUGGAGCCCCCACCUAGAGGAAAGGCUGGCACAGAUCUGAGAAAAAAGAGAAGAGUCUCUCUCUCUCUCUCUCUGUGUGUGUGUAACACAUUGACGUUCAUCAGUUCUCCAGGAGUAGUUACAGUUCGAGGAUGUGCACCAGGAGCGCACCUGUCUUGAUUAUCAGCCGAGCCUUGAUCUGGAGGACACAGGUGGCCGGGUGAGGCUGAGACAAGCCAAGGAUCAACCAGCAGUUCUUCCCAACCACGCCGCCGCAGCAGCAGCAGACGAUGAUGUUGUGAACAACUUUUGCUGAGUGGGCUAGCUCCGUAUGGUAAUAUAUUGAUGGAAGUUAGACAAGUGGAGUUGUACUAUUUGGUCAGAGUUGAUAUUUUCGGUGGAGUUGGGAACUGAACUGAUGGAGUUAUACUCGGUGUUAGCUACACCUGUUUUUGGUCGCACGGAUACUUUUUAUGGUCGGUGUAAGCGCACAGGCUGGUGGUUCCUGAGUUCUUAUAAAGUAGGGAGUAAGGUUUUCAUUCUGAUGCUUUAUUGUUUUAGGAUUUAGAUAUUUUCUAACCGGUUUACAGGGCUAAGGUGUUUAUGUUUUCCCCUUGUUACAGUUCAUGCAAUGCAACCUCCUUUCUCUAAGGUUUAUGCUUAAGGGUAUAAUUUUUAUAUUUGAUUUGGUACUCCAUAUAGGUGGAUGUAAUGAUUAUAUCAGCAGCCCCGGAACAAUGGCAUUGAAACUGAUUGUCCUCUCCUUAGCCUUUGAUUUCUUUCAUUAUAAUCCGAUAAGAUCCUGUUUCUAGAUGCUUGCAAUUUUGAAGGAACCAGGUUAUGUAUGAUUGCAAAGAUCACUGAGAGUUUUGUUAUUAGAUACAUGAGGCAGGAGCUGGGUAUUUGUCUGUGGUGGCAACAAAGCUGUCGUUUAGGAGUUGUUGGUGUACAGUGUAAAGAAAGGCAUGCUUUUUUAUUUUUAAUGGCGUCCAGAUAGUUGGAGAACCUAUAUUUUCUUCAGAUCUAUAGGUUCAAGAUAUGCAGUUUCUAUUUUCUAAUUAUACUAGCUUGAUCCAAUAAUGACAGAAGUUCCACAAGCUCGUAAUUAUUUCAGUUACUUGUGCAGUAUGGAAUUUGAUAAUUUAACAUGUGCACUGCAAUUGGCAACACUUUGAACAAAACCUUGAGUUUCUUUUCUCAGGAAUACGAAAAUGAAUCUGUACUUUGAGGUACUCAUAUGCUGAGGACACAAGAUUCCGUCGAGUGUUCAUGUAUACAUAGUGGUAGUUGUGUUUGGUAGCUAGGAGCAAACAAUACUACGAACGUUUACUCAGACUCAGCCGAACUGAGGCAAGCACCCAUGCUACUUCUCAUGGACUUCCAUGUGUAGAUGGCGAGAAUGGUUCGACAAUAUAGUGCUUCCAUAUGCACCGAUGCUACUUUAGUUUAGGAUCGUCACAUAUUAUCUUUAAUAACGCUAUGCACUGAAUGGACAGACUGUACACCCUUCUUUUGUUUAUUCAGAACAGAUCAGCUAUAGAGAAGGCUAAUGUGGUUGGAGAAGGAAUUAAUACACUGGAGUGCUCCCUAAGAGGGCACAAACUUUUCCAACCACAUAAUUGUAGUUUCAAGUCUGCUUUUUCUAUUUGUCAAUUUUUUGGGGAACAUAUAAAUGAACUAUAUUUUUGGUGCAAUUGCUCUAUCACAAUCGGAUUGACCCAUCCGAUGCUUCACUGUAUCUUAGCAUGCUUAUCGAGUACAUUCCUUAUAUCAUUUUUACAGCUAAAUUGAUUUGUGUCAGGUAUGGCUAUAAUGGCAGGUUGUCCUAAUAGAAGCUUCAAUUUUCCUGUACAGUUUAUAGGGGCUAUAAUGGGUGCUGGGGAUCUGAAUAUUCAAACAGAAGAUGGAAAUAUUGGCAUGCCAAGUAAUGUCUGUUGUGUCAUUGUGGAGUACCUUUCUGGAGGUGCAUUGAAAAUAAUUCUGAUAAAGAACAGGAGAAGGAAGUUAUCUUGUAAAGUUGUGGUCCAGAUAUCUGUUGACCUUGCCAGAGGGGUUCUGUUAAAUGUGAACAUGUUUGCGUCAAGGCUUUGUUGAUGGUUGAAGAAGAAAUCAAGGUCGCCAAAACUCGGGUGCUGCUGAAUUGCUAGAUUACUCCACUGCAAAAAAGUAAGAACGCUGGACAGCGGCAAGAAGGAAGAGCUCAGGCCACCCGCGACGCCAGGCCGCCGGCCCUCCUCCCUCAAGCUCAAGGCGGCGAAGAGAUGGUUGAGAUGGUGCUGCAGCUCCGCAGCCCGGUGAUUCCAUCUGCACCGGGGUUCUGAUGGCGGUGCUUCGUGUGGCAGCACUGGACAGCGGCAAGAAGGAAGAGAUCGGGCCACCCGCGACGCCAGGCCGCCGGCCCUCCUCCCUCAAGCUCAAGGCGGUGAAGAGAUGGUUGAGAUGGUGUUGCAGCUCCGCAGCCUGUUGAUUCCCUCUACACCGGGGUUCUGAUGGCGGUGCUUCGUGUGGCAGCGCUGGACAGCGGCAAGAAGGAAGAGCUCGGGCCACCCGCGAUGCCAGGCCGCCGGCCCUCCUUCCUCAAGCUCAAGGCGGCGAAGAGAUGGUUGAGAUGGUGUUGCAGCUCCGCAGGUUGGAGAGGAAACUGAAAGUGCAUCUGCUGAGGAUCCAAAGAACAUGCUUCCUGACCCCUCUAAGACCAAAAGAACAGGCAAUGCCUCCAAGGGAGUUUGCGCACCAAAGAAAGCGAGGCAGUAGUUCUUCCAUGGAGCACUUCUUCCAUGCCGUUAUCUAGAUAUGUACAUACAGUACGACUAAGGUAUCUUCUAUAUUCUGCUUGCUUAUCAAGCGAAGUCGACGCUGGAAGGGUAUCAUGCUGACCAUUUAAUUGAAUUUCUCUUACAGAAACCAAUAUUAAUUUAUUCAGAGAACAUCCUUAUUUUUAUUUGUGAGAUAAUUAAAAAAGAUGUUUAUCUUUCCGAGCGACAUUGGACAUCCUAUAAUUUUGAGCACCGCCUCGAAGCAACCAGAAAUAGUUUCUGGUAGACUUUGGUCAAUGUAUCCUGGCCUGCAUGCUUUGGUGGUUACGAAAACAGCCACCUUUUGUUUCGCAUCAAUGAGACCAAUAUCUUUCUCCUUUCGGAGAACUCCGAGCAAGCUAUAUAUAAACUUUAGUCUUCCCCUGCUGCUUCUAUGGUGAAAAGUACUGUACUGUGUAAUGUAGUCUAUCAUCUUUAGAUUAUAUUGUUCUCUUUGUAGUGAAAAGCGGUUUAUCACCGCUUAUUGUAUAUAUAUGUGAAGAACUCUUCUGCUACUGUUUCCUGAAAACUAUGACUCAAGAAACAAGCUUCCUUUUA